GAUGAACGCUGGCGGCGUGCCUAAUACAUGCAAGUCGAGCGAACAGAUGAGUAUCUUGGUCCUCGGACGGUAGCGGCGGACGGGAGAGUAAAACAAGGAUAACCUACCUAUAAGACUAGGAUAACUACGGGAAACCGGUACCAGUAACGAAUAAUAUAUUGAAGCGGAUGGUUCAAAAGUUAAGGACGGUUUUGCUGUCACCUCGGCAUGGAACCGCGCCGCUUGAGCUAGUUGGUAAGGUAACGGCUUACCAAGGCAAGCAUGCGUAGCCGACCGGACAGCGUGCUCCGCCACACUGGAACUGAGCCACAGUCCUGACUCCUACGGGAGGCAGCAGUAGGGAAUCUUCCGAGCUGGGCGGAAGCCUGCAGGAGCGACGCCGGCUGGGUGAUGAAAGUCUUCGGGUCGUAAGACUCUGUUAUUGGGGAAGACCACAUGUAUCAGUGACUAAGCUCGUCUUGACGGUACCUACACAGAAAGCACCGGCUAACUACGUG
rnacentral:rRNA from 1 species